rnacentral:tRNA from 1 species
AGCUAGCUGGCAGAAAUAAUGCCCGGGCUUUAAGAGCCCGCUAUACUCUUUGAGUGCUAGCUG